rnacentral:rRNA from 1 species
UACGUAGGGUGCGAGCGUUGUCCGGAUUUACUGGGCGUAAAGAGCGCGCAGGCGGUCGUGCAAGUCGCGUGUGAAAGCCCCCGGCUCAACUGGGGAGGGUCACGCGAUACUGCUCGACUCGAAGGCAGGAGAGGGAAGUGGAAUUCCCGGUGUAGUGGUGAAAUGCGUAGAUAUCGGGAGGAACACCAGUGGCGAAGGCGACUUCCUGGCCUGUUCUUGACGCUGAGGCGCGAAAGCUAGGGUAGCAAACGGG